rnacentral:rRNA from 1 species
AUUGAACGCUGGCGGCAGGCUUAACACAUGCAAGUCGAGCGGGGAAAAGUAGCUUGCUACUGGACCUAGCGGCGGACGGGUGAGUAAUGCUUAGGAAUCUGCCUAUUAGUGGGGGACAACAUCUCGAAAGGGAUGCUAAUACCGCAUACGUCCUACGGGAGAAAGCAGGGGACCUUCGGGCCUUGCGCUAAUAGAUGAGCCUAAGUCGGAUUAGCUAGUUGGUGGGGUAAAGGCCUACCAAGGCGACGAUCUGUAGCGGGUCUGAGAGGAUGAUCCGCCACACUGGGACUGAGGCACGGCCCAGACUCCUACGGGAGGCAGCAGUGGGGAAUAUUGGACAAUGGGGGGAACCCUGAUCCAGCCAUGCCGCGUGUGUGAAGAAGGCCUUUUGGUUGUAAAGCACUUUAAGCGAGGAGGAGGCUACCGAGAUUAAUACUCUUGGAUAGUGGACGUUACUCGCAGAAUAAGCACCGGCUAACUCUGUGCCAGCAGCCGCGGUAAAAC